rnacentral:lncRNA from 1 species
CAAGCUCGCUGUGUUCAGCCCAGCCGCAGUGCCAGCUGGCGAGCUUGCCAGAUCUUUCUCUAUCCCCCAUGCCACCUCCUCCUCUCACCUAAAAUGGGAGGAGAGGGGGAGGAAAUGCUGCAUUUUCCUCCUGUGCUGAAUUUAUCCCGACUCAGACCGGCUGCGGAAGCCAGGGAGAAGAUAAACAAAGAAGUCUUGUUAUAAUUUUUCAAAAAACUCCCAGUGCUCUGCAGCCCACUCCGUUUUCUUCCUACCUUGCUUAGGGUGGAACUCCGCCUGGCUUCUGCUGCUCUGUCCUGCAUCUGAAGGGUGACCUCCUUGCUGGAGACCCUCCUCCUCCGUGUGAGCCCCAGACCCUGGCUGCAGCUUUAUUUCACAGGUGGGGACUGAGCUCCGAGGCAGGUGCUUGGCAUUUUCUAACCAGUUAACACCCUUGCUGUGGCCAUCAGUUGGCCACUAGCUGCACCUGCCUCGCUGUAAACUGGAGAGCAAUGGCACAGGACUUUACCUCAUGCCCCCUUCCCUCCCUAUGGAGGCCCUAAGGAGAGAUACAGAAGGAACAACAGCCUGAGGAAGAAAGAGAAGUGAAGUGAAGGGCCUGGAUAUCCACCAAGCGGAAUUUGGUGCUUGGACCAAAGGAGCUGGGCGGUAGGGGCAGGAAAGGACAGCCUCAUGAGGGCCAGGCUGUUGUCUCGUUUAGUCUUCAUUGUAGUCCGCUGGUGAUAAAGAGAGCAAUCAGUAGCUUUCCUCCUGGAGAGUGUGGGCUCUGCAUCGGAAUUCAGGCAUCGUGGAUAUUUACACCUUGCCGUGGGGCACAGGCACAUGGUUGAGCUGGGCCAAUUAGAGACACACAGACUUAAGUGAGAUGCCAGAGCUGAGAGUGGCAGGAACAACGAGGGACCACCAUGGCAGGGGGCUGCAGGGGGUGGAACCCUGUGUCCUCAGUGGCCUUGGAGGUAGCUGUUCCCCUACGGUGGCCAGGCCCAGCACCAGCGGUACCCAUAGGGGACUGUGAUGUCCAGGAACCCACAGCAGGCGUCCCAGAGCCCUCCCGGCCCUAGGCUUCUGGUGUGGUUCUGCCCAUGAGCCUGGCUGCGCCAGAGCCCUCCUGCUGUUUUCCAAGCUCACGCUGCAGCCCUCGCUGACUCUGAGCCACCCCAUAGCCAUUCAAUACACUCCUUUUCCACUGAAAAGGCAGAUAGUGAGAAACGUUGAUCCAAUAAUAACAUGAAGUCCAUGAAAGCCUGUGGCUAUGAAGAAUGCUGAGCCAUUGAAUCCACCAGAGAUAGUAAAGGGGGCCUUGAAAUAUUCUGAGGCUUGUAGAAGGGUAAAGUAAAUACCUAAGGUAAUUGUGAUGGAUACUGCCUGCUGAAAACAGCCCUUGUUCGUUUCUGCUGCUUACAUCUGAGAGCUCCAGCUGAUUUCCCAGACCCCUGGGCUUUGAUUCCAGAGACUUCCACCCUGCUUAUCUCCAUAUGCUUUCCGCCUGUCUGAGGCCAGAGUAGACCCACUACACUUAGAUGAACCAAGCAUAUCACACAUCACAUAAGAAGGAUAAAAGCCUCCAAAUCUUGCACCAGCCUCUGCCCUCCUACCCUGACAGCCGCCACUUCUACCAGUGGGGGUUUUCCCACCAAUCAGGCGAGUAGGUUGAGGAGAAACCUGUUCUGUGGGCAAGUGAGGACUUCUGAAACAACAAGGCCACCAAUCAGGAUGAAACUUGAUGUCCUGAGAAGCCCCCACACAAGCCUCCUGCGUGGCUUCUGAUCGGUUUGAUUCUAGCCCUGCUGUUCUA